rnacentral:tRNA from 1 species
ACCUAUGAUUAUAUUUGAUUUGAAAUCAAAUUUAUUGUUUUUACUAACAACGUUGGUU